rnacentral:tRNA from 1 species
GGGCGGUUAGCUCAGCUGGUUAGAGCGCCACGUUGACAUCGUGGAGGUCAGUAGUUCGAGUCUACUACCGCCCACCG